GAACGCCGUGUGCGAUGAAAGUUGCAUGCACGGUGUGAAGCGGGGGAAAAAGUGGAGAUAAUUUCAAAACCUUACCUAUCGCUAU
rnacentral:ncRNA from 1 species